AAAGUCUAACCUGCCCACUGGAGUUUUGAAGGGCCGCGGUAUAUUGACCGUGCUAAGGUAGCAUAAUAAUUAGUCUUUUAAUUGUAGGCUGGAAUGAAUGGUUGGACAAGAAGUAAGCUGUCUUUUUUAUAAAUUUUGAAUUUUACUUUUAAGUGAAAAGGCUUAAAUAAAUUUAAGGGACGAUAAGACCCUAUGAAACUUUACAGUUAAGAGGUGUUCAAUGAUUGAUUUGUAGCUUGAUUAUUUUGUAGCUGUUUUGUUGGGGAGACAAUGAUAGAAGACAAAGGUAUCUAUUUGAUAAAUAAAAAUAAAGUUGUUUAGUAUAGCUGAUCCCUUAUUAAGGAUUAAAAGAGUAAGUUACUUUAGGGAUAACAGCGUAAUUUUUUCUGAGAGUUCUUAUCGAUGAAAGUAGUUGCGACCUCGAUGUUGAAUUAAAGUUUCUACUAAAUGCAGCAGUUUAAGUAGAGGGUCUGUUCGACC
rnacentral:rRNA from 1 species